UACAGAGGGUGCGAGCGUUAAUCGGAAUUACUGGGCGUAAAGCGUGCGUAGACGGUUAUGUAAGUUAGGUGUGAAAGCCCCGGGCUCAACCUGGGAAAUUGCAUUUAAGACUGCAUAGCUAGGGUGCGGAAGAGGGAAGCGGAAUUUCCGGUGUAGCGGUGAAAUGCGUAGAUAUCGGAAGGAACAUCAGUGGCGAAAGCGGCUUCCUGGUCCAGCACCGACGUUCAGGCACGAAAGCGUGGGGAGCAAACAGG
rnacentral:rRNA from 1 species